rnacentral:rRNA from 1 species
AACGAACGCUGGCGGCGUGCUUAACACAUGCAAGUCGAACGGAAAGGGCCCAGCCUUGCUGGGGUACUCGAGUGGCAAACGGGAGAAAAGCACAUGAGUGAUCUGCCCUGCGCUCUAGAAUAUUCCUGAGAGAAUGGUUCUAAUACCGAAUACCACCGGGCUAAAGCGUGGGAUGAGUAAACCUUUUCCGAGAAGAAUAACCCCACUCCCAAUAACCUUGUGGGGGGGGAAAUGGCCUACCAAGGCACCAACUGGAACCCGGCCUAAAAGAGGAUCCGGCCCCAUUGGACACGAGAAACACGGCCCAAAUUCCUACGGAAGGCACCAUGGGGAAAUAUGGACCAUGGGGCGAAACCCGGAUCCACCAACCCCCCGGGGGGAAUAACGGCCUUCGGGUGUGUAAACCCCUUUCGCGAGGAGAAGACUCUUUUGUAACAGUACUCUGCGUAAGAAGCACCUUACUAACUACAUGACCCACCGCCGUAACUCAUACGUAAGCGUGCGAGCGUAGUACAGGAAUUACUGAGCGUUAAUAGCAUUUACUGGGCUUGACGCGUCCUCUGUCAGAUUACACAGCUUAACUGUAGACCUGCAGGCGAUACUGGCUGACUUGAGUACGGUAGAGGAGACUGGAAUUCCUGGUGUAGCGGUGAAAUGCGCAGAUAUCAGGAGGAACACCGAUGGCGAAGGCAGGCUACUGGGCCAUUACUGACGCUGAGGAACGAAAGCAUGGGUAGCAAACAGGAUUAGAUACCCUGGUAGUCCAUGCCGUAAACGAUGUGCGCUAGCUGUAGGGGCCUUUGAGGGUUUCUGGGCCCAACCUAACCCAUUAAUCGACCCGCCGGGGAAGACCGGCCCCAGAGUUAAACCCCAAAGGAUUUGACGGGGGCCCCCACAACCGGGGAACCUGGGGUAUUAUUUCAAGGCACCCCAAAAAACCUUACCGGGCCUUGACUUACACAGAAUCUCUGCAGAUAUGUUGUUUCCCUUGGGACUCGAGAACCGGGGGCGGCUGGGUGGCCUCCACUCCUGGCCUGGAAAGGUGGGUUAAAUCCCCCCACCAACGCCACCCUUGUCUUAUGUUUGCCACCCUUUCUGAUGGGAACUCAUGAGAUACUGCCGGGGACAACUCGGAGGAAGGUGGGGACGACGUCAAGUCAUCAUGCCCCUUAUGGCCAGGGCUACACACGUGCUACAAUGGUCGGUACAAUGCGCUGCUACCCUGCGAGGGUAAGCUAAUCUCUUAAAGCUGAUCUUAGUCCGGAUUGGAGUCUGCAACUCGACUCCAUGAAGUCGGAAUCGCUAAGUAUCGCAGAUCAACAAUGCUGCGGUGAAUACGUUCCCGGGCCU